CCUUUGAUGGCUCUCUGCAGCUGCCUGCCUUUCUUUCAUUCAGUGACUGAUACAAUCGGCGGGAAUGCUAAGAUCUUUUUGCCCUUUCAGCUCAAGCACCUGCCAUAUGGAUCGAUCGCUGCUUUGACUAGCGCCAACACACAGCUGAUUCAAACUGGGACGACGACGACGACGCGGGCUUCUUAUUGCGCCAUUAUUGUCACGACUUCACGAGCGCCG
rnacentral:lncRNA from 1 species